rnacentral:lncRNA from 1 species
AGGACAUGUAACUGAAACACGCAUGCCUGUUAUGGUUCUUCUGAUAAUAGAAAUUGACUCAAGUGACAAUUCUAGUGAAAAUUUGGAUGACACCAAGUGAAACACCAAUCAUGCAUCUUAUGUGAAAUUAUAGAAUAUGGAAAAUUUGGGUACAGCAUUGGAGAAGCUGUAGGAUUUUUAAAAGGGUAUUUGUCGAAAAAUUAAACUGAAGACACAUAUUUAUUUGCAUCAAUGGUUUCUGAGGUUCAAUUUUCGCCAUGUGAAGCAAUUAAAAAGCUUUUAAAAAUAUGGUGGUCAGGGUUCUCUUUCAUGUAAUCGAAAAGAGAGGGAGUAGCACGUUAAAAGAAAAAGAUGUAUAAUUCCCAAGACAUAAUUCAAACCCAUACCACUUAGUAAUGUCAAACAAUUCAAAAGAGAAAACUAACUGCCUAAUUUAUCCACAAAAUAGUGAACGAGAAACUUGGUAACACAGUAACAAACUACAACCACUGAUUCCAGGCUCCUGACUUGGAAAUAGGCACAUACAGAAUGUAACUGCGUCAACUUAAGCAUGCUAGUUGGUGUCCAAUUCUCCCCUAAUCAGGGACAGCGGUGUAAUAGUACAGCAUAAAGAUUAAUACUAUGUGGUCAUUGAAUAUAACAAAUCUAUAGGGUGUACCAAUGUUUUUUUUUAUAACAAAAUCCAUACUAUAAGUUAUUGUACAAGUAAUAAGUGAAUUAUAAUUUGAACAAAAUGCUACAUGUUCACAGACAACGGAAUUUAUUACAAAGGAUAAUAAUAAUAUAUACUGGAAUGGUCCUGGGUCCAAUUGCUUUUAUUGAUUUGAUGUUUAUGUGAUGUAUGUUACUGAAAUUCUUCAGCAAAUACAGGGCCACCCGAUAUUACCAGUAGAAAGACCC